CCGCCGCCGCCACCGCUGUGCACGCACAGCCGUCCCGGAAGUCCGCUGGUCUGCACGCUCCGUCCCUCUCUCUCCCAGUCGGCCUCUCUCUCUCGGUCGGUCUCUCUCUCUCCCUCGAUUCGCCGCACCGCCACCGCCGCUGCGGAUCCGCCGCCGUCGCACAGAGCCGCAGCCGCUGCUGCUGGACGCCGACGCCGCCGCUGCUCUCCGCACGCUGCUGUACCGUUGAGAAGCGCCGCUGCUCCGUCGCCCGUCACCACUACCGUCACCUCGCCAUUCUCCGAUAGAUUUGUAAAGGGGUGAAAUCCGUGAUGGAUUUGGGGUGUGGGGCUGCCACGACGGUGUGCCGAAACUCAGUAUCCGGAAUUCCGGCAGAUUCGUGUUCUUGAGAUAAGUUGUUAUCUUGGGCUUACUAUAGUUGUAGAACUUGAGUUCUCUAUUUUAUGAAUUCUAUGAAUUUGAACAAUUGUCCUGCUACUAAAAGACUUGAUGGUGAAACAUGAUAUAAAACUUGCUGUGUAUUCUUGAUUUCUGAUUUGGGAAGAUUUUAAUUUCUCUUUAGAUAUGCAUAUGCUUAUACGUAUGUGCAAGAAAAGAAAGGUUUGGGAUUUACCUUGGAAUAAAGGUGUGGUUGGAUUGUAGUGUUUGAGUGUGCAAUCUCCCCCCCCUCGGAACUCCUCUACCCUUUGUGGGUUGGGGUGUGCAAAAUUAAGAUUUAUGAGGGUGAUGUGUGUGAGUGAUGAUUUGCAGAUAUACAUGUACAUAUACAUAUACAUAAAAAUAUGCAAGUGGAGCUUAUCUUAAAAAAAAAUUAUGCAAGUGGCGUGGGUAGCAAGUUGUGCAGCAAGUUGCUAACAUUCUUAUCCCAUCUUUCUUCUUCUUUUAUUUUAUUUUAUUUAAUUAUUUAAGUAUUAUAUUUAUUUACUUAUUUGUUUAAUUUGGUGUAGGAAAAACCCAGUUUAAGCUCGUGGCUUUGGUGUAGGAAAACAAUUAACAUCCAUAGUCUUCCCUGAUGAUGUACCGGACUUUCUUGGAGUACGAGCACGACCGUUGAACGGGUUGCGUGAACUUUUCCCUAAUUGUAAUAGAUAAGGAUUUGAUAAAUUUGUAUAAUAGUAAUUUAGCGGACUUCGGAGAUAUGUCGGACAUUAUAAAUUUUUAUUUGGUGUUACUUUUUUUUUUACUUGAAA